GGUGAGUAUCACGUAGGUGAUCUACCUAUAAGUUGGGGAUAGCCUGUGGAAACACAGGGUAAUACCGAAUGAGCCUAUAUACAUACGUGUAUGUAGGGAAAGAGGCUCAGGCCUCGCUUGUAGUUGAGCCUGCGGCUCAUUAGCUAGUUGGGAGGGUAAAGGCCUACCAAGGCGACGAUGAGUAGCCGACCUGAGAGGGUGGGCGGUCACACUGGGACUGAGACACGGCCCAGACUCCUACGGGAGGCAGCAGCUAAGAAUCUUCCGCAAUGGUCGAAAGGCUGACGGAGCGACGCCGCGUGGACGAAGAAGGCCGGAAGGUUGUAAAGUUCUUUUCUCAGAGAAGAAUAAGGUGAGGAGGGAAUGCCUCAUUGAUGACGUUAUCUGAGGAAUAAGCCCCGGCUAAUUACGUGCCAGCAGCCGCGGUAACACGUAAGGGGCGAGCGUUGUUCGGAAUUAUUGGGCGUAAAGGGCGCGUAGGCGGCUGAACAAGCCUGGUGUGAAAGGCCACAGCUUAACUGUGGGAGUGCGCUGGGAACUGUUUGGCUAGAGUUCAGGAGGGGAAGCUGGAAUUCCUGGUGUAGGGGUGAAAUCUGUAGAUAUCAGGAAGAACACCUGUGGCGAAGGCGAGCUUCUGGCCAUGAACUGACGCUGAGGCGCGAAAGCGUGGGGAGCGAACAGGAUUAGAUACCCUGGUAGUCCACGCUGUAAACGAUGUGCACUAGGUGUUGGUUGUAGAAAUGAUCGGUGCCGAAGCAAACGCGAUAAGUGCACCGCCUGGGGAGUAUGCUCGCAAGGGUGAAACUCAAAGGAAUUGACGGGGGCCCGCACAAGCGGUGGAGCAUGUGGUUUAAUUCGAUGAUACGCGAGGAACCUUACCAGGGCUUGACAUAUGCAUGACGGUCGUAGAGAUACGGCUUCCCUUCGGGGCGUGUAUACAGGUGCUGCAUGGUUGUCGUCAGCUCGUGCUGUGAGGUGUUGGGUUAAGUCCCGCAACGAGCGCAUACCCGUACUGUCUGUUCUCAGCAUUUUGGAUGGGGAGUCAGACGGUAUUGCCGGUGUCAAACCGGAGGAA
rnacentral:rRNA from 1 species